rnacentral:rRNA from 1 species
GGGACUCGGCGUACCGCUCAGUAACACGUGGGUAACCUGCCCUAUGCUGGGGAAUAACCUCGGGAAACUGAGAAUAAUACCCCAUAGUCCACCAUGCCUGGAACGGUUGGUGGAUCAAAGCUCCGGCGGCAUAGGAUGGGCCUGCGGCGUAUCAGGUUGUAGGGGGUGUAACGUACCCUCUAGCCAUCAACGCGUACGGGUGUUGGGAGACAUAGCCCGGAGAUGGAUUCUGAGACACGAAUCCAGACCCUACGGGGUGCAGCAGGCGCGAAAACUUGGCAAUGCGAGAAAUCGUGACCAGGGAACUCCAAGUGGCUGGGGUAAGACCCAGUCUUUUCAUGACUCUUCAAAGGUCUUGGAAUAAGAGGUGGGUAAGGACGGUGCCAGCCGCCGCGGUAAUACCGGCGCCUCAAGUGGUAGUCGAUUUUAUUGGGCCUAAAACGUCCGUAGCCUGUUUGGUACAUUCGUGGGUAAAUCAACCAGCUUAACUGAUUGAAUUCUGCGAGCACGGCCAGACUUGGGACCGGGAGAGGUGUGGGGUACGCUCAGGGUAGGGGUAAAAUCCUGUCAUCCUGAGCGGACCACCUGUUGCGAAGGCGCCACACUAGAACGGAUCCGACGGUCAGGGACGAAGCCUAGGGGCACGAACCGGAUUAGAUACCCGGGUAGUCCUAGGUGUAAACGCUGUGGACUUGGUGUUGGGGAUUCUCCGAGGAUUCUCAGUGCCGAAGCGAAGGUGAUAAGUCCACUGCCUGGGGAGUACGGUCGCAAGGCUGAAACUUAAAGGAAUUGGCGGGGGUGCACCGCAACCUGAGGAUUGUGCGGUUUAAU